rnacentral:rRNA from 1 species
UACGGAGGAUCCGAGCGUUAUCCGGAUUUAUUGGGUUUAAAGGGUGCGUAGGCGGCCUGUUAAGUCAGUGGUGAAAGACGGUAGCUCAACUAUCGCAGUGCCUUUGAUACUGAUGGGCUUGAAUACACUUGAGGUAGGCGGAAUGUGGCAAGUAGCGGUGAAAUGCGUAGAUAUGUGGCAGAACACCAAUUGCGAAGGCAGCUUACUGGAGUGUGAUUGACGCUGAGGCGCGAAAGCGUGGGGAUCAAACAGG